rnacentral:rRNA from 1 species
UGGCUACUUUGUAGUCCGAGUUGUAAUUUGUAGAGGAUGCUUUUGGUGAGGUGCCUUCCGAGUUCCCUGGAACGGGACGCCAGAGAGGGUGAGAGCCCCGUACGGUUGGACACCAAACCUUUGUAUAGCUCCUUCAACGAGUCGAGUAGUUUGGGAAUGCUGCUCUAAAUGGGAGGUAUAUCUCUUCUAAAGCUAAAUAUAGGCUAGAGACCGAUAGCGCACAAGUAGAGUGAUCGAAAGAUGAAAAGCACUUUGAAAAGAGAGUUAAACAGCACGUGAAAUUGUUGAAAGGGAAGCGCCUAUGACCAGACUUGUUUCUGUCAGUUUUGCUUGUUUUCGGACUUGUUUACUCUGUCAGUACAGGCCAACAUCAGUUUGUUGUCGGGGAGAAAGGCUUAGGGAAUGUGGCUCCUUCGGGAGUGUUAUAGCCCUUUGCAUAAUACCAUUCGGCAGACUGAGGACCGCGCUUCGGCAAGGAUGUUGGCGUAAUGGUCAUCAGCGACCCGUCUUGAAACACGGACCAAGGAGUCAACCUUAUGUGCGAGUGUUUGGGUGUAAAACCCCAGCGCGUAAUGAACGUGAACGUAGGUGAGAGCUUCGGCGCAUCAUCGACCGAUUCUGAUGUUCUCGGAUGGAUUUGAGUAAGAGCAUAUAGGGUUGGACCCGAAAGAAGGUGAACUAUGCUUGUAUAGGGUGAAGCCAGAGGAAACUCUGGUGGAGGCUCGCAGCGGUUCUGACGUGCAAAUCGAUCGUCAAAUAUGAGCAUGGGGGCGAAAGACUAAUCGAACCUUCUAGUAGCUGGUUCCAGCCGAAGUUUCCCUCAGGAUAGCAGUGUUGAACUUCAGUUUUAUGAGGUAAAGCGAAUGAUUAGGGACUCGGGGGCGCUAUAUUGCCUUCAUCCAUUCUCAAACUUUAAAUAUGUAAGAAG